AAUCAACGCUGGCGGCGUGCCUCAGACAUGCAAGUCGAACGAUUAAGACUUCCUUCGGGAAGUGUAUAAAGUGGCGCACGGGUGAGUAACACGUAAGUAAUCUACCUCUGAGUGGGGAAUAACGUCCGGAAACGGACGCUAAUACCGCAUAAUGCAGCGGCACCGCAAGGUGACAGUUGUUAAAGAUUUAUCGCUUAGAGAGGAGCUUGCGGCAGGUUAGCUAGUUGGUAAGGUAAUGGCUUACCAAGGCUACGAUCUGUAACCGGUCUUAGAGGACGGUCGGUCACACUGACACUGAAUAACGGGUCAGACUCCUACGGGAGGCAGCAGUCGGGAAUUUUGGGCAAUGGGCGAAAGCCUGACCCAGCAACGCCGCGUGAAGGAUGAAGUAUUUCGGUAUGUAAACUUCGAAAGAAUGGGAAGAAUAAAUGACGGUACCAUUUAUAAGGUCCGGCUAACUACGUGCCAGCCGCCGCGGUAAGAC
rnacentral:rRNA from 1 species